rnacentral:lncRNA from 1 species
CAACAUGGACGGAGAUAGAUAAGGGAACUGACAGGAACAGAAAACCAAAUGCCGCAUGUUCUAGCUUAUAAGUGGGAGCUAAACAUUGAGUACACAGGGACACAAAGAAGAAAAUGACAAACACUGAGGCCUACUUGAUGGUGGACAGUGGGAAGGAGGGUAAGGACUAAAAAACUACCUGUCAACAGAAUACCCGGGAGAAGUUUCCUUUCCCUAAAUAUACCUGCAAUUUUCAAGUCCUUUUAAUUCACGCCUUUAAAUGAAAGGGUUGAGUAUACAAAAUAUCAAUAAGUUCCAAUUGAAGAGCGGAUUCUUUUGCAAUUCAGGCAUGUGCCGGCGAUAACGGGCGAGUUGGCAUGAAGAGAGGCAGAGAUGGAUUAAUUAUGCAGAGAACAUGGAAAUUCUGCUUAUCAUCGGCUAGCAAAGGAGCCCGGCUCACAUAAUCAGCAAACGAAGGGAGAGGAAAAAAUAACAAUGCAAUGGCACCUUCCAGCCCAUCAUCAGGAUUUUUUCUACCCCCUUGUAAUUAAAAAAUAACAUACACUUAUAGCCCUAUCUCCUGUGCAGGCAAGGAGUGGAUGUCCACAAAAUAAUUGCACUGGGAUAUUAGAGCUGGCGACACGGGCUGUCCAUUCCGGCUUGCUCUCCCGCUCACCCUCUCUUUCUCUUUUGGCCUCUCAGGCACUUUGCUUCUGAACCCAGUCCAAAUCAAAGAGACGUCUCAGGUGACAUUCAAGCUCGGUUUCCAAAAAUCCCAAAUUGGUACCUUAUCAUGAUCCAAGCAAACAUACAUACAUAUAUGAUAAAUAUUUGGAGGGCUGACUCUAGGGGAGGCUUUGGAACUGAUCACCUGUGGACUAUCUGGUCAGUUUCAUUUUUGAUGAAACAUGUCCAAAUAGCCUUCAUUUUGCAAAGUGGCUGGAUUAAAAUGGUGGCUGUGCAACGGCUGUGCUAUCUUCUCAAAUCAUUUAACUUACCUACAAGUUUUUGUUUCUAUUCCCUUUGCCAACUCAUUUUAUAAAUGUUAGGUUAAUGAUUGCAAUGUUUGCACCUCAAAAUCAGAAUUCGCAAUUCUGUAUUGUCAUUGUAAAAUCUGACAGCCCAAUGCCUUGUAUUUCU